UUUUUUUUUUUUUUGGGGGGGGGGUUGUGUGUGUUUGGUUGGUUGGUUGAUUUUUGGUUUUAUUUGGUCCAAUUAGUAUAUUUUUACUACCACCACUAGGUAUUUAAGUUGGGAUUCUUUGUCUGUAUUCACUGCUGACACAAUUCCUGUGGACUCAUUUCCAUCUCUGCAAAAUUCAUGUAAAGAGGGCAUAAAAGGCUGUCAAAUUAGAAUUAUGGCAUUCACAUUGAUUUUUCCACAUAGUUAGAAGUGACUGUCUAAGCCGCAGACAGUGAAUAAUCAAAUCCUAGGAUUCUCAAGUCAGUGUGUUCAGUGUGACCCAUGACUGCGCUGUGCUUCAUAGUGCCUCCACUGUUUUUUGGCAUUACAGUAAUGUCUGCAGAACUCCUAAUGCCCUAAUCCCACAGUAUUCUCCUGGGCUGAUUUAACCCCCAUUGACUAGAGGAGACGAGCAUCAAUACUGAUCUGCAGAGAAAUUUAUCACAAGUUCAUCAGAUGUUACCAAUUCAGACUGUGUACUGUGUGUGUAUGUGAUUUAAGUUUAAACCCUACUUGCUUCACUAGGAAGGUUAGUAUUUAGAAUAAUUGUAGUAUUUGAGUUUUAUCCAAUGCUAUUAAAAAGCCUGAAUUUAAAACCAGCAGGUUUUUAGAGAUAAAACAAUGUUAAUAGCAGAGGUUUGCUGAGAUCAGAAGUGAAUUCUCUGACUGCACCUAACUGGGCACAGUGUCUGGCUUCAGAGAGCUGAGCGAAAUGGAGGUCAUGAGGCAUGAGACUGAUGAAAAAUAGUGGCUUAGUUCUGUGGGACAAAAUGAUUUCAGAACAACUAAAAUUCUAUUUUAACAUCUUUCAUUCUCUUAUCAAAGGACUGAGAGUGAGCGUACUUUAGAUGAUUCAUGGUGGGGUGUAACAAUUUUUAUUCCCUGAUAAUUCAUACAUCUGUAAAUUAGUUUCAGUCUAGGAUUUACUCUCAGAAGAGCUAAAUAUUCCCUGAGUUGGGAACUUUCAUCCUGGGUAGGAGAUACUUCCUGAUUAGCAUAUCUGGCACUUCGGAAAUCAAACUUCCCAGUCAUGGCUUGCCAAUAUUUGCUGAGAAAGUAAAGGGCAGCAUCCCUUUGGGGACAGACUUGCCUUUCCACAGUGUACAGUAUGUUUGUGUGGUAUAUCUAUGCUCCUAAAUGCUAUCCUGUAGUGGACCAUCCUACAGAAUGUGUUCUUUCAUGAAGCGCCAGUCUGUGGUGUGAUCUGUCACCUGUGUCACUAAUGGCAGCAGUGGUCUCAUCAAGCAAAGCUAGUUGGGCAUUGUAAAGGAGAACCUGAACAUGUCUGGGAAUUUACAGAGAGCCAUUGGAGCAGUUAAUGCCCGUGUGUGAGGUGGGCAGGCCACGGAAGCGUGCGAUGUUGGGAUGCAAAGGGUUACUGAUGGUGCUGUUGCUAUGCUGUGCUCAUGCUGAUGUGUAACGUGGAUGCAACCUGUCAUUCUGACAGGUCAGGAGACUUCAACAGCAGGGACACAGUCUGGACCUUGGCUGGGAUAUUCACUGGCAUUUAUUCUUUCUUGAUUAUUUUUUUCAUUUUCCAAUAGCUCCACUGAAGUAACAUAUACUCCUAUGGAACGGGAGUUUACCAAGAGUAACAUUAUUAAAACAAUAAAAGGAAGCAGCAGUUACAACUUCACCAAUGUCUAUUUCAUUCCCAGUAUGAGACAUUUCUUUUGAAGAAAUUCUUUCAGUCUUUUACAUUAUAUUUUACCUAGACUAUUUCCGAAGAGUUUUAUUUUCUCAUAAAAUAACCAUUUCACUUCUCCAUUGCUCAAUUACAUGGUGUUAUUAUAAAACAUAAGCUUUUGGAUUUUCUUUUGUAAAUCCUUUUCAUCUGAGUAGACCUACAUUUGUAGAUGGUAGGUUACCCUACCUCCCUCUUAGUACAAGGGAUUAGAAAUGUUUGCCUCUAUGUUAGUAAUAUCACUAGCAUUCCCACAAAACUUGGAAAUUUGUUUUGGGCAGGUUUGACUACAUGAGUGAGUUGGUGUUUAAAAUAUUUAGAAAACAGUUACUUCAUCUUAGCCAGGUUCACUAAUAUAAUUUCAUACUUUUCCUGAAAUACCUGCACAAAAGCUUUCAUCUCUAGCUUUCCAAUGAAUACUUAAAGAUAAUCAUAUUCUUUAUGGCAAGGAAUUGAUCCUGAAAUACUGAAAAGCAGCAAAUAAGUAUUGAUCUUCUCCACUGAAACAGAGUGAAAUUACAGUUAUUAAAGACUUCUGGGUUUAUUUAUGCACUUUCUAUUCUACUUAAUACAAACACCAGAUUAUGUCAGGAGUUACACACUGAAAUAAUUAAAUUGCUGUUAUCCUACCAAUUAUAAACCUCUUGGGCUUUGAAACUGUAAAACUACAACUAAAAAAGAUAAAUAUAGUAUUGACGAAAAUUGACAAGUUUCAUCUGACAAGAAAUCAAAGAAAUAAUAAAAAAGCUAUGGAUAGAAAAAUAACCCAGAACAGCUUUCAUCUUCCAUCUUUGAUGCAAAGUGGCAUCCUGAAAUGACUAUAGAAUCUAGAAGCAGAUAAAUAACAGCAGAGGAAGAGGCACAGGCACAGAACACAGGAAAAAAAUUUGGUUGUGCCAAUGUGCUCACAAAGCCACAAGAAGAGAGACUCAAGAAAACCAAGCACAGCACUACUGGAUUUCUCUUACAUAGUUAAAUCGAUCCAUGGUCCUCAGAUUAUUUUUCAGAAUAUGAGGCAGCUCUACCACAUUCUACUAACCAGAGCACCUGCAUUUUGCAUAGAUAGCAUUUUGAGUUGUAUUAAAUGAAUUUCUUAGAGUGUGGAGUAUUGUUCUUCAUUCUGCUUAACAUUCUGUAGCCAUUAAGAAAGAUGAUUUGACUAUUAAAAUUAUUUAGCCAUAAUGAACAAAACAGGGCUAUUCUACAGGUAAUACAGGAAAGCUUUAGAAGUUUCCAGUUUCUCUAUCCAUGUAGAAUAUUACCAAGACUUUUUAAACUCCAGCACCAGUAAUUGCCUGUGCCCUUUUCAAAUAAAACUGCUUUUGAUUUCAGCAUUUACUGUGUCUUUCUCCCAUAGCUGUGCACCAUGCUAAUGCUGUUGCUUUAUCAGCUUCUCUCCAGCCUGUUCACCUCACCAGAGAAGCAUUGUUCUUUGCAGAAUAUCCCCUGAUGCUUUGCCAAAGCCUAAAUUUGAACAGCUUGAGUGAAGAGAUUUCUAAUGCUUCCCCGAAGAGGUUGAUAACACUGUAAUUAGUCUUUCUGUUUAGCAAAUAAUUCUAGCUUUUCCCCUUUCUUUGUUUCAUAGAUACUUUCUUUCCUAUAUUCACAAGCAAUACUUUUAUUUUUUAAAAUAUUUUACAUUCAGUAUUUUCAGGCAGAUUUCCUACUUCUGCUUCCUCAGUUUGUACUUAUUUUAUGCACACUUAAUUCCUUUAACCUUUUCCUCAUGAGCUUCCUUAGCUUUUGGUAUGCCUUUAGAGUUGCUAAAAACAUUAGCUUUUCAGACAGGGUGCACGUGCAAUGCUGAUCAUGGUGACUUUAUUAAGAUUACAUAAAGGGCAUUACACUGAGGACAUAUUUUGCUAAAUAAUUAAAUGUUACUGGAAAAGCAGCUCCUUUCAAGAAAAUCAUCUGCAACAUCACCAGGAAAUUCUUUGUAUCCUUAGAAUUCUCCAAGGAUACUUACAAGAGGAAAAUUGCAUUGAAUUAGGGAUUAAAAGUCCAGUAGUGUCCUCAUGAAAUUAGAAGAAAACAAAAGAAAGAAGCAGUAAUACUACAUUUUUGACACUUACAGUAUUUAUGUAGACAUUUCUUGAAGUAUGCAAGCGUUGAGUUACAAGGAUGGUAGAAUAAAGCACAGUUUUUGAUUUAAAAGUUAAUGUAUGAGACUGGGGAAAAAAACCCAUUUAAGCCACUUUAGGAGACAUAUUAUUACAUGACUUUAAAUGGUUUUUGUUAUAGAAAUUUUUCAUUUGAAAUACUACUUUAGUAGUUCAAAUGUCUACUGGAGAAUCAUUGUGCCUAUUUCAAGAUCUAAUUAAUUUUCAGUCAAUUUUCUGAAAAUACUGAACAGAAUUAUUUUAAUCUUGUGGAAAUCUCAGUACAGCCUUAACCAUAAAGUUAUUUCUUACAUUUUCAUCCUUAGAAAAACCCAAAGUUAUCAUAGGUUUAAUUAGAUAGGUGAAGUAUUUAGAUUUAUUUUUCCCUUGGAGCAGUUGUGCACGUGCCUGCCUGGAUGUUUGAGUUCCUAAAUAACAAAGGUGUUGUCAGAGCUUUGCUCUGUUACACAUGUACAAGAUAUUCUAACUUAUCAGUCACCAGUACCCAAAGAUUAAAAGCACCCAAAACAAAAGAAGACAGACUUCAUCUUCCAGACUGACAGUUUUAAUCUCCAGACAGAUCCAAAGUCACACUUCUCAAACCAACAUCUGCUCCUGGCUAAUGAUUGUCCAUGACUUGCGAUAAAAACAGUCCUUAGUCCAUCUUAGCUGGACUCAAAAUUAUAUUUUGUGUCUUAAGAAUAAAUUCCAGCCACUUAAAAAAAAACGUGGCUGCAGAUGAUGGCAUUGAACAACAGUGUCCAAAAGCCAUUUAUUUGUGAGUCUGUGCUUCAAGAUUCCAAGUUUUAGGAGAUGGGUGGAAGUGCUGCAAGGGAGCCUGUUUUUCCUGAGAAGGGUGAGGGCGAAAUAAGAUCAUUCUACCAUGCCACAAAGACAGAGAAAGAUGCAGACAGAGCAUGCUUUUGCAGAGUACCAUUCGCCUUGCCCUGCGUGCGGCCCUGGGACCGAACUGCGCAGCUGUUACAGGAGGAGCUGAGGCUCAAGGAGUCAGUGAGUGCUGCUGCUUUCAGGCUCAGCAGAGGCAUCAGCAAGUGGAGAGGAACCUCAUCAGCUCCUGUCUAUGCACUACAGAUGUUUUGCUUUGCAACAUGUUGUUCCUCCUCUCUCCACUCUCAAUGGAUAAGGAAUUAACAUCACCAUCCUCAUCAGAGUCAUAGAUCAAUUUCCAAUCUUGUCCCUCUGACAAUUUCCAUGCUUUAAGAAGCUCUGCUUCUCUUUUGCUGCAUAAGAAUUACACUCACACCUACUUCUCCUCCUUGCCAUCUUCCUUUUUCCCUCUCUUCCUGGCCCAGCAUAUUAAAUAACCUUCUUAUUCUGUGAUAGGAAGACACCUGGCCAAGUUGCUUCACUUUUGGCCACAUGUGACUCUUGCUGAAGCUUUUAGUAUUUACACUUGUCUCCCUCUAAAAGGAUGUGUAAUUGCUUUUAAUGAAAUUAAGGCACUUAAAAUCCAUGAGCUUUACACAGAUCUAAGACAGCCUGUGGAUCAAAGCUUGUCCCAAUAGCAGUCAUGAGAAUCUGAAUGUGAUGUGUGACAUCUAGAACCAGGCACUGCUAAACCAGCUCAGUUUCUCAGCAUUGACAGCAUGUUGACG
rnacentral:lncRNA from 1 species